rnacentral:rRNA from 1 species
UACGAAGGGGGCUAGCGUUGCUCGGAAUUACUGGGCGUAAAGGGAGCGUAGGCGGACAUUUAAGUCAGGGGUGAAAUCCCAGAGCUCAACUCUGGAACUGCCUUUGAUACUGGGUGUCUUGAGUGUGAUAGAGGUAUGUGGAACUCCGAGUGUAGAGGUGAAAUUCGUAGAUAUUCGGAAGAACACCAGUGGCGAAGGCGACUCACUGGCUCAUUACUGACACUGAGGUGCGAAAGCGUGGGGAGCAAACAGG